UGUAAACGUCACUAGGGUUUAUCGUUUUAGGGUUUUGAUUUUGGGACAAAAUAACAACUCCAUCGUCUGUGAGAAUUCUUCCUCUGCAUUUCAGGUUUUCAGACAACACAUAGGGCAGGGAAGCCGCUUUCGCAAGUCACAGCCAUGGCAAGAGUCAAGGUUCACGAACUCAGAGGAAAUUCGAAGACCGAGCUUUUGAACCAGUUGAACGAUCUGAAAGCAGAACUCGCGCUGCUUCGAGUUGCCAAGGUCACUGGUGGAGCACCCAAUAAGCUAUCCAAGAUAAAGGUGGUUAGAUUGUCAAUUGCACAAGUUUUGACGGUGAUUUCUCAGAAACAAAAAGCGGCUUUGAGGGAAGCCUACAAGAAUAAGAAGUUCGUGCCUCUAGAUCUUCGUCCGAAGAAAACCAGGGCCAUCCGAAAACGCCUAACCGCCCACCAGGGUAUAAACGGUACAAGCAACAUUUGCUGAAUGCUGAUAUUGCUCCUUAUCACCCUAUAUGCAUCAAACUUGAACAAUGAUUCGAGGAUUCUAGUGAAUGUGCUCCAAGUGUCUCUUGCCAUGGCCUUUUCAUGCUUCUGCUUCUGCUUCAUUUAUGUAGUUCAAUGCAUGGAUACAAUUACUACCGGCCCGUUUGGAAGGACUGAGCUGAAGGGUUCAUCUAAGUUGGUUUGUGGGGGGAAUAGGGGUCUGGAAUCGAAAUCUGAAUUCCAAUUGCAACCAUUUGGUUGGGUGGAAUCGGAAUCUGAUUCCCAUUCCCUAUUUGAGGAAAUGGCCAUUCCCUCCCCUCCCUUUGGAAUGAGAAUCCUGUUCUCACCAAUUCCAAUUCUGAUUCCGAUUCCGAUUCCCAAACCAAACAGGCGGACAUCUUUGAAGACAAAACGGGAAGAGAAGAGGGAAAGGUAUUUUCCAAUGAGGAAGUAUGCCAUCAAGGUGUAGGGUGGGAACUAGUUGCCAAGGACGCGAGACACAUCCUUGAUGCUUUCAAAGUUUUCAAGGAUAGAAACAUCGAAAUUUGCACACUAUGCAUUAUUUCUCUACAUUUUUGUUUGACUAUUUCGAAAUGAGCACAAGUACUCGAGUUUCUUUAGUUUUUAAUUUGUCAUUUGAAUUUGAUUCGUUGAUCUUUCUUCAGUUGCAAAGUUCGCCAGUUUCAUUAUUGAUUGAGAAUCGAGACAUGUUAGGAUUGGGUCCUACUUGGAUAUAAUUCUUCUUUUUAUGAAUAUGGAUUUUGGGGAAACUUUGGAUA